GCACGUCCCCCGUCCCCUCACCCUGUGUCCUGCCCGUGGAGGUGCAGAGCCUCCGUAAGGAGAAGGGAGGAUCCUGCCGAGUGUGCAGAAGGCAGCAGAGGUGGGCCUGCAGGUGGGAGGACUGUCCGCGCACGUGAGGACCCCAGGGAAGGCCUUCUGGAAAGCUCAGAUGACCCCGCUGCUCCUCCGCCCCCGGGUGCCGUUGGCCGGCCUCUGGGGUGGGAAACGGCCAGGCCGCUGCUGGGUUUGCAGGGAGCGAGGUCUGGGCGCCGCUGUGCCCACCUCCACCCAUCCCAGCGGUUGGAUGGGACCCCGGUGGGUGGGCCCUCUCCGAAGUCUGCGCUGCUUUAGCAUGCUGGGCCCGGCACCCCUGGUUGCUAGCGUUCCCCUCCUUGGUGCCUGUGUGUGUGGUCAGCACCGACAGCGCGGAGCUCUUUAACAAGCGAGCAUGACGGGAGCUGCCGGGGCGGAGGAGACAGACAGAGGGGACGAGAGGCCCGCGCGGCCCCCAGGAGGGGAGCGUCCAGGGGGGACACGGUUUGCUCGGCGCGAUGGCGGGGAUGCGCGAGGGAGGUUCCUGCGAUUAACCGGGCCCAACCGCUUUAACUUGUUUCUCUUUUCCCUUCCUCCUUCCCUUUGUCUCCAACCUCUUUGCCUAAAUAACCGCUCCCACCUGUCUCGCGAUGUGCGUGGCCCCUCGACCCCUCUGGACUGCAGACUAAGAGCCAGUGCCUUUCUGUUGAGCAGUCCACCAUCUUUAUGCUCUCUCAGACCUCCAGCAGUCUGAGUUUCUAACGGAACAAGGUGAUGCUUUUCUGUCGUUUGGCAUGGUGGGGUUAUGGUCGCAGGAAGCAGAGGGCUGACCCCUCGCUGAGCCGUCCGGCACCCGUCCCGGGCUCCUGUCUGCUCAGGACGAGCGGGUCAGGAGCUACUGGGGUGACCUGUCUCUGAGACGCAGGAAGUGCGCGUGGCCCGUGCUUCUCUCUGUGUCCGUGGGAGGUCGCGGGUCCCACCUGCCCGGGUGCAGGGCUGCACUGCAUCGCACUGGCUGGCGGGUGCCCGUGGCCCCUGCACACACAGGUGUGGGUGUGGCAGCUCCUACGUUGCUCGAGCCCACGUGGGCAGAGUCCACGCAGCACCAGCCCUCUCUCCGCAGCCAAUGGCGGCUGGACGGCAAGACCUCCUCACUCACGCAGCUCUGCAGACCCAUUGCACAGACAGGGAAACUGAGGCCCCCACGAGAGAGUGUUGUGCAGGCCCCGCAAGGCACUGCAGAAAAGACAAGGCUCAGGCUGAGCCACCCAGGCGGUGGAGAAAGCCAGGAGAGAUGUGUUCGGGUCAAGUGUUUCUCCAAAUUCCCUUUUCACUUUGAAAAAGAAUCUGAUUGUUUUUAGAGAAAACCUUAACGUUGCUGCGAGCGGCUGUGCUGGGUUAUUUCUCAGCAGCAUUGAGCCACGCACAGGGUAGCUGCCCGGGGCCACAGCAUGCUCGUGAAGAGCCACGAUUUCAGGGGCACAGUUGUCCAGGGAUGGCUCCUGUCCGUGCGUCUAAAGGACACCCUUACAGAGGCCGCAACGUCAGUGAUGCUUGGAAACUGUUCCUAGUGCAGCUGAGUUCAUAGGAAAAUACCUAAGCAAGAAAAGGCUGUGUUUUCUUUUAAUGACCGUUCAUCCUCUAUACGUUUUAAAUGCUAUUUUUUAACUAACAGGAUGGUACAUUUUUUAACUUCUGGUAAUUAUCAGCAGUCAAAAUUUUUCUACUCUGGUGCCAUCAGAAUUUGCUAGACUGAAUGACUUAAUUAUGUCUCACCGGGUACAUACUUGAGAACAUUUAGGAUGAAACUGUUAGGAACAUUUAAGUCACAGGCUGUGCUUAUGAAAUUGGUUAAAUCUUGCCAACUUUGGGAUAAAAAUACAUACUUUCACUCUUGACGCGUGAGGUGUGCUAAGACUCUGUCUCAGAAGCCCAUGUCUGGCUGCUCGGGGACAGUCGGCGCCGGGCGCCCUGCGGGGUUCACGGCCACACGAGGCGGCCCACAGGUGUCCCCACACCACCUUCUGGAGCCCCUGGCACACACACAGGUGUGCGUGUGCUUCUGGGGACCCCCCUGGACACCCGCCAAACUUUGGAGGAACAGACCCUGGACCAGUCCUCACGUCAGAUGGGCCGUUGUUUCCUUCCAUCUGUUCUGUUAAAAAGAAACACAUCACAGGCACCAGGUCUCACGUGUAUACAUGUGUGACCCGUGUAUACGUAUUUGUACACGUGUUUCGCUGCGUUACCGGAUACAGUUCCAUCCCUGCAAAGGGCCGCACCCCCUUCCCCUGAUCAGUUCAUCCUUCUCCUCACCAGAAGACGUUCUGCAUCUCACACCUUAUAUUCCUCCACCUCUUAAAAUUCCUUUCUUGCUGGUUCCUGAGGCUCUGAUAUGGUCUGACGAGAAAGCCGGCGUUGACUUGCGGCACUGUGACCCCUGGGCCCUGCAGGAGUCUAGCCCUGGGGUCGGGGCGAAGGACAGGGACAGAGGGACAGGCAGGUGCAGGGGUGAGCACCGAGGCGGCCGCCGGGCGGGAGCGGCCGGUCCGGUCCUUCCGGCGGAGGCUCCUCCGUGGGCCCCCGGCCUGCUGCCCCAGCCUGCCCUCCUCUCUGUGCCCUGCCCCGUCCCUUGGUCUCUCUCAGGUGAAGCGCUGUUAGGAAGACCCGCUCCUUCCCUGGCGGCGCCCUCCCGCUGCCCCCAGCUCGCGCAGGCCCCGGGUCUGGCUGCGAGGCUGGGUUGUGCUCACGGACGGGAGGCGCUUCUGGAACCAGGCGCAGCCCCUCUCAGUAUUUCUCCUCGCCUUGCAGCAGAGCACGAAACUCAAAGCAUCGGUCGCCGCUGCGCCGGGCACGGACGGGCCACUUCUGAAGGACCUCUUGCCACGGCCGAGGCGCCAUUAGCCAAGGAUAGGUAACCGUGUCUGCCACACUGCCUGGCAGGCCUUCUGGGUGUGCUGUGAUCCUUCCAAACUGUCUGCUUUUCCUCCAAAGUUUUGCUGUGCCAUUUUGAUAACAAAGGUUCAUGAUGAAAAAAAAACAGAACAAAAACAUUUUUUACACACACACGUGUUUCUGUCCCAGGUAAGUGACCUGCCUGAGCGUGUCUGGGCCGCACGUGGCCGUGCACUGCUCAUGUGCGCACACACAUGUGUGCCGUGGCCUUCCACGCGCGUUUGCGGGAUCCGCUCAGCCAGCGUGUUCAGAGCUUAGUUUGCCAGAACAAAGCUCAUUCCUCGGCCUUGGUUGUGGAACGAGCUUCACCCAGAAGGUCUCUCAGGAAAGACCGUAUUUUGACAAGACGGUGGAAGAUUGCAUGGUUUGCGUGGGACGUUGGCCCAGGCAGACGUCCGACACAGGUGUCCCGUUGUCUGUCAGCCGCCCCGGGGGGCCGUGUCUGCCCCAGAGAGGCCCGGAAAUGGAGCCGCGCUCACGACGCGCCCUGAGCCGGGUGUCUCGGGUGUGACAGGCACACCGCCUUCUCUGCCCGGGGACGGUUAUUCCUGUAAGACCGAUUUCUCCCGGACUGCUUCCCCCAGGCUCUGCUGCCCGAGCACAUGCGUGCGCGGCCGGGACUACCUCCCCGAACUCACCCUCCUGGCCUACCCGCAGAGCCCCAGCCCCUGGGCCGUGUGGCCAGGCCCGCACACAAAGCAGGCGAUGCUGACGUGACCUCCCCUCGCCGGUCUCCUGCACAACCACCACCAUCCCGGCCCUGCGCCCGAUGGGACCGCUGGUGGAACCAGGACAAGCCUUUGAGAGCCACACGUGUGUGCUUCUCCCCGCCCCCGAAGGAGGGAUGAGAACCACGGGACGUGUCUGGAACGCGUGGCUGGCAGUCGUCACCUCUCGUGGGGCUGGUGGCCCCCACAGCCUCCCUUGGGCAUUUGGGACGACCCACUGCAUCCCGGGCCAGGGCCUCCAGUCCCAGACACCGCCGGAGGAGGGCACCUGCGUGGAGGUGGGCCGUCGGCUUGAGCGGGGGUGGCCACACCGCCAACUGUCCGAGCACAGGGGCCUUGUCCUCACCGUGGGACGGGCCGGCCUUGCCUCCGUGCCUCCUUGUCCAGAGCGCUCUGGUCCUCGUGCUUCUGGAACUGGCCGGACCAGACCCUGGCGUCACCGUGCUCCUACAGCCUGUCGGAGUCCUGGACUGUGUCCUGCUUCUGUCCAAACCCGCUACCUAGCGAAGCUGCUUUCAGGGUCCUGUCUGACUCGGGGUUCGUCCCUCUGAGGGAGGACUAGCAUCCCCCGUGUGAAUCUGAGUGUUUCCCAUCCCCAGCUGCCCCUGUGGAGAAAAAGUAUCGUGUGUGACGAAUGGAGAACACUGUCCACUCCAGCCUUCCCAAUACGAGAUAGGAGCUAGUGUUCCUCACACCUCCACGGAUAGAGCCUCCCCACGUUCUCUUGUCCAGAGAGCUUUCCCCAGUUGUAGGGGAAGGCUGGUGGUCGGGGGCCGGGGGCCCGACCCUUCGAUGUCCUCAUGGAGAGGUGGCCUCCAGGGGCCGCGUCCACCUUCCAAAAUCUAUUUCAGGCCCACAUAGGUCUGACGGUGAGGCGGUAUCUGAAUCCUGAGAAGCAGGAUUGCCGCCCUGGCCCGCUGCCCAUGGCCGAGACCCGGACCAAGCCCUGCGUGUUCUGUUGGAUAAGCGCUGUGUUGUGAUCCGCUGUCCAGGGCGUCAUUUGGGGUGGGCAGACCUUGAGGCUGCUGCAUUGACAGUCCCGGUCCCUUCUCUGUACUGCUGUUUGUUUCUAGAAAUAACCUCCUUGACGUAGCCUUAAUGGUCCACAAAGAAGACAUUUCAGUCUGAGAUUCAAAGUGUGGAUGUGGAAACGGAUGCCUUUUGAGAAAAGCAUCGCCCGAAGCUAAACGACAAGCCGGCCCCUUGCCCGCUGCCGGGUUCCAGGCUGUGGCCCCGGCGACGCUGGUGAGUGAACACGGAGUCUGCUUCAGAGAUGCUCCCUGCCAGGCAUUUUGGGAAGCCCAGAUUUCACAAUUUGUAUAAUGUUUCGCCUAUAAGAUAUUUAUUUGAACUAGGGGAUGAAUUGACUGCGUACACAGAGUAGUUGGGGUAAGUCCAGGUGAAGUAGCAACAGCAAACCAAAGACCCGGAGAAAGGACGGGGAGUGCACCGGGGUCUCCGCCCUCCGUCCCGCGCGCCCCGCCCCCCGUGUGUGGUGGCCCUCCCGUCCACGCUAGGCCCGCAGCAGUGGUGUGUGCAUUUUUACAGCCGUUUUUAAGAACCUAAUAUGGGUAUAAGUGUAAUACCUGUAGGGAGACAGAUUCUCUGUAUGUUUAGUUAACAAAUUCUUUGUAAUGUAUUUUUUUAGAAAUCUUAAAAUUGCCUUUGCGCUGAAAUAUUUUCAUAGCUGUUUCUAUCCCUUUAUUCAUUUAUUUGUUAAUAUACUACAUCUAAUUUUUAAAGUACGUUUUUAAAGCUUUUAUUUUUUAAGUUGAUGAACUUUUGGCCACUUUGCAUUUAAAUUCUGGUGGGCGUUUUGGCCGAAUAUCUCCAUAUCUGAUGAAUGUGAAGAUUCAGGUUUGAUUUUAUUCUCUACACCUGUGUCCCCGGCGGCAGUGAUUAGUUGAAGGCCUAUUUAGAGCACAAUAUUUCGCUUGCUGAUUCUUCACAGUUGAUUGCGAUUAUCGUCUGCUUUUUGAUUUGUUUUUCAUUUCCGUCCUUCGGCCUUAAAAUAGAAGCUUCUCGAGGGAUGGUUUGGUACCCUCUGAUAACGCACGUCUCGUUGGGAAAGUCGCUAACCCCUUACGUGCUCCCAGUGUCUCUUACAAGGUUGUUAGGGAAUCCUCCGUGAGUGCGCCUCAUCGGUGACGCGGGCCCGGGGCGGGAGGUAGAGCGGCAGAGCCCUCCGGGAUGCGUGUGUGCGUGGGACCCAGUGCGAUCUCUCACCUACACGAGUUCCUGUUUACUUGCCUUAAACUGACCUGAAAGCAAGUCCUGUCAACUUUGAGUGUUUGUUUUGGAAACCUCGUUCAGGACUGCACACGUUAAUGAAUUGCCAACCUGUGAUCUCCCACACGGGUCCCAGCAUCUGGUUCCCAAGCCGCACACCAUCCCCUUCAGAGCAGGUCACACUAACACACAGGUGGUCCCCACCACGUCCCCGCCUCCUGUUUUCAGCUCCGUGUCCGCUCAGGGCCACACAGUACGCGCACAUACAGGCUCCCUGGGCCCUGGCCAUCCUGCCCGCUUCCUGAGGGGACCCUGCCGGGAGCUCCGGGAACACAAGGCUUGAGCCUCGUGCCCUGGCAGGACGCCGGAGGCGGGCACGGCAGCCCCGGGGGUGAGACGGGGCUGCGGAUGGACAUGCUGCAGCGCCUCCUCCUUGGGAAGACCCCCCACGGCUCUGCCCUCGGGACGGGGCAGAGAGCAGCGUCCGGACCGUCCGAGCCGCGGGGCCUCUGCGAGCCUCCAGGAGCACCGGCCGGCCCUCUGCCGCGGGCGGCGGGCAGAAGAGGCAUCCUCCCGUUGGCAACUCCAGUGCGAACCCAGCUUGGCUAUUCCUGUGCAUUUGACUCCAUAGGGUGAACGCCGACCAGAUGAGCCCCUCGUGGUGGCCGGGCCUGCACUUGGGAAGGAGGCCCAGGCGCCCAGCUUCUGCAGUGACGGGUUCUAGAGUUGUAGUUUGGCCUGGUGAGAUUUUGCAGCUUUAAGUACCAAAACGUCUCCUACAUGCUGUUCUAAUUAGUCUCAAAUUGUUGCAUAUCAACCAAAUGCCCAGUGCGGCCUAAAGGGAGUUUCCCGGCCUUUUUCUUUAAAACCACUGAGCUCACCGGUGUUGCACUGACCGGAGUAACCCAGUGCAAUUCCUCCUCCUUUCCUCGGAAAGCCGUUAUUUAUUUAACAGCUCCGCGUCACAUUUCCGUGUGCAGUUUCUUGCCUUCUACGUUUCUUUUAGAAGCUUCCCAUUUAAAAACAGGAAAAAUGUCAGUCGGCAAAUACAUUUUUUUGAGUUAGAGGGUAGGUGAAUGAGAAUGAGAAUCAUUCUGAUGUUGUCUAUAAACAAAGCUUUAAUGAAGAUGCGUCGGAAGUAUUACUAAAGUGUGAUUCUACUUUUGCAGAAAAUAAAGAUCAGUUUAUAUAGCUUUAUUUUUUACCUUAUCGAAAUAUACAGAAUUUUAAUAUGCAUAUAUUGUCUCUGACUUAAAACUAUGAUGUGUGUCUGCAUUGCCAUUUAAAAUGUCUAUUCAUUAUGUAAUGUGAUAAAAGAGAAUCUUCAAAAUGUAUUUAACAUGAAUGGUAUCUGUAGUUGUCAUCAUCAUAAAUACUGGAAUUUAUUUUUAAAUUAUUGAACAUAGUAGGUGCGGUUAAGGUAAUAAAUCAGCCUCCAGGUAGUCAGGUUUAAUUGAUAAUGAUUCAUUAACCCACUUUGAAAAAUUAAAUUGUGAUUAAACCAAAUCUUACACUUCUGUAAAGUUUAUUUUGUAUGCUACUGUUUUUAACUUUUAUUUCUGUAGAUAAAAUAUGACUUAAUUAUA